GUGUGUGUGUGAACGGGGUGGGCGUGUGCGUGUGUGCCGGGCCCACCCCUUUUUCCUUUAGGUUUCUACCUGGAUAAGUGUUCUCACUGGCGAUCGCAACAGGCUUUUUACCAUCAAAUGGGAAUUGGUAGCUUUUUUCUGUUAUCAGUCUGUUAACAUCUGGAAAAUAUAUUUCACGUGUAUAUUAUAUUAAACGAAUUUAGAACUGUGAUCUCACUUAAGAAAUAAAUGUUGAUUAUACUGUUUGACAA